GAUGAACGCUGGCGGCGUGCUUAACACAUGCAAGUCGAACGGAACUACUCCAAUGAGAGUCUUCGGAAAGGAUUUGGUUUAGUUUAGUGGCGGACGGGUGAGUAACGCGUGGGUAACCUGCCCUAUACAGGGGGAUAACAGUUGGAAACGACUGUUAAUACCGCAUAAGCGCACAGGAGCGCAUGCUCCGGUGUGAAAAACUCCGGUGGUAUAGGAUGUACCCGCGUCUGAUUAGCUGGUUGGCGGGGUAACGGCCCACCAAGGCGACGAUCAGUAGCCGGCCUGAGAGGGUGAACGGCCACAUUGGGACUGAGACACGGCCCAAACUCCUACGGGAGGCAGCAGUGGGGAAUAUUGCACAAUGGGGGAAACCCUGAUGCAGCGACGCCGCGUGAGCGAAGAAGUAUCUCGGUAUGUAAAGCUCUAUCAGCAGGGAAGAAAAUGACGGUACCUGACUAAGAAGCCCCGGCUAACUACGUG
rnacentral:rRNA from 1 species